rnacentral:rRNA from 1 species
CCUACGUGAGGCUGCAGUGGGGAAUAUUGGACAAUGGGCGAAAGCCUGAUCCAGCCAUGCCGCGUGUGUGAAGAAGGCCUUCGGGUUGUAAAGCACUUUCAGUGGGGAAGAAAGCCUUGGGUCUAAUACCCUCGAGGAAGGACAUCACCCACAGAAGAAGCACCGGCUAACUCCGUGCCAGCAGCCGCGGUAAUACGGAGGGUGCGAGCGUUAAUCGGAAUUACUGGGCGUAAAGCGCGCGUAGGCGGUCUGAUAAGCCGGUUGUGAAAGCCCCGGGCUCAACCUGGGAACGGCAUCCGGAACUGUCAGGCUAGAGUGCAGGAGAGGAAGGUAGAAUUCCCGGUGUAGCGGUGAAAUGCGUAGAGAUCGGGAGGAAUACCAGUGGCGAAGGCGGUCUUCUGGACUGACACUGACGCUGAGGUGCGAAAGCGUGGGUAGCAAACAGGAUUAGAUACCCGAGUAGUC